rnacentral:rRNA from 1 species
UGAGGAAUAUUGGUCAAUGGGCGGUAGCCUGAACCAGCCAAGUCGCGUGAGGGAAGACGGCCCUAUGGGUUGUAAACCUCUUUUGUCGGGGAGCAAGACGGUGUACGUGUACGCCGUCUG